rnacentral:rRNA from 1 species
AUGGGAACUCAGGCAAUGCCGUCCGGUGGGGCCAUCUCGCGCCAGGGCUCGCUCUGCAGCCUCACGCUGAGCGACGUCGAGGGCCAGCUGCACGGCGUCAACCUCGACGACCUCCUCCGCACGGCCGGCUCGGCCAGGAGGACGGCUGACGAGGUGUGGCGGGACAUCCACGGCGCCGACGGCGGCACCAGCCGCCCGCGGGCCCAGAUGACGCUCGAGGACUUCCUGUCCAGGCCCGGUGGCGACGCGGGGGGCGCCCACUGGGCCGAGCAGUACAAUCCCCCGGCCCCGGUGCCGAGGCAGCAGCGCCACAACAACGUCGGGCGUCCCCUGCAGCGGCCGCUGGGGGUGGGCGCCGGGCCGGUGCUGGACGCGCUGUACCACGACCACGACGGGGCCGCCAUGUCCGGGCGAAAGCGUGCCGCCGUGGGCGGCCCCGGGGAGAAGACGGUGGAGCGGCGGAAGAAGCGGAUGAUCAAGAACCGGGAGUCGGCGGCGAGGUCGCGUGCGAGGAAGCAGGCGUACACGAACGAGCUCGAGAACAAGAUCUCCCGACUGGAAGAGGAGAACGAGCAGCUCAGGAGUUACAAGGCAUUUGAACCGGUGGUGCACUGUGUGCCGCAGCAGGAGCCAAAGAACCAGCUCCGGCGGAGGAACUCGGCCAGCUUCUGA